rnacentral:rRNA from 1 species
GACGAACUCUGGCGGCGUGCCUAAUACAUGCAAGUCGAGCGGACCGGAUUGGGGCUUGCCUUGGUUCGGUCAGCGGCGGACGGGUGAGUAACACGUGGGCAACCUGCCCGCAAGGCCGGGAUAACUCCGGGAAACCGGAGCUAUACCGGAUAACACCGAAGACCGCAUGGUCUUCGGUUGAAAGGCGGCCUUUGGGCUGUCACUUGCGGAUGGGCCCGCGGCGCAUUAGCUAGUUGGUGAGGUAACGGCUCACCAAGGCGACGAUGCGUAGCCGGCCUGAGAGGGUGACCGGGCACACUGGGACUGAGACACGGCCCAGACUCCUACGGGAGGCAGCAGUAGGGAAUCUUCCGCAAUGGGCGAAAGCCUGACGGGGCGACGCCGCGUGAGCGAAGAAGGCCUUCGGGUCGUAAAGCUCUGUUGUGAGGGACGAAGGAGCGCCGUUCGAAGAGGGCGGCGCGGUGACGGUACCUCACGAGAAAGCCCCGGCUAACUACGUGCCAGCCGCCGCAGUAA